GAGUCCAGCGGACGCUGGAUUUUAGUUUUAUGGUUUUCUUUCUUCUCCCAGCCUCCCUAACCGCCGCCUCCAUUCCUCCUACCCACACCCGCCGCCCCUUCUGCAUCGAGCCUCGCCGCCUCCCAGGCCUAAGCCUCUGCCUCGCCGUUGCCCAGGCCUAAGCCUCUGCCUCGCCAUCGGCGCAUCACCCACCAGCGCCAGGGCCCCUCCACGCCCAGGUCCUCCCAGCCGAACUUACCCGCGACGCCGUCGCCCAGGCCCGGCUGUUCCUAACCGUCGCCCAAGCGCCAAGCCUUGCCUCGCCGUCGCCCAGGCCCGCCGCCGCCGUUCCCUCACUAAACCCGUCGGUGAGUGUCUUCUCUAUUUCUAAUUUCGGAGUUCUCUUAAGUCUUACCUUCAUUUUUCUGGAAUAUGAGGUUGUUAUUUGCUGGAAUAUGAAGUUCUCUUACCUUAAUUGUUUCGAAAAGGUUUAUUGAUGACAUGUGCCUCAGAUUGCAUGUUUCUGUAUUGGAAAGUAAGGAUGAUAAAUUGCAAAUAUCUGUUAGAAUCCGAGUACGUGUUGAGUUUGAAUUCAUUUUUAUUUCUUCAAUUAUGUACUGGAUUAUUUUUCUAUUAGAAGAAUCAGUAUAAUGUAAAUUGUGAUGCUAUUCGGCUGAUCUGCUCAAACUUGAUGUAUCUGGUUCUGAGUUUGAUUACUUGGAAACUGCACUCCAUAAGUUUGAGGAGGAUGGACCUUUCUUCCUCGGUCAGUUUAAUCAAAUUACUGGAAAAUGGAGAUUGAUUUGGAAAAGCUUCCGUUUGAUCUCGAAACUGGUGCGGCAAUUGCACGCUUUGAUAACUCUCAUGGGGCUGCUGUAAAUCGAAUAGUUAACUUGACAGAAUCUACCAUUGCAUCCGGUGAUGAUGAAGGUUGUAUUAAGGUGAAGUUUUAUGCGCAUUAUGAUGAAGGAUUACCCGUUGGGCCUUUAUAUAGAACUUACUCCCAGCGCUCGCUGGAACCCAGCGGUCGCUGGGUUUCCAGCGGUGCUGGGACUCAGCGGGCGUUGGCAUCAUGGAUUUGAAUUCCAGAAUUAUCCCCUAAAUUCUUCGAAAAUCAGUGAAAAUCGGGGUGAAA